AUCACUGCUCUUAUUGUCUGGGUUUUUGUUCACCUUCAUCAUGCCAGUGUUUACUUUCUGCAGGAGAAGAACUUGGAUUGGUUCCCUCGCAUGAGAGCCAUGUCUCUGGUGAGCAACGAGGGAGACAAUGAGCAGAAUGAGAUCCGAUCCCUGCAGGAGAAACUGGAGAACACAGUCGGUCUGGUGUCCCAGCUCUCGAGCCAGCUGUAUGAGCUCAAAGAACAGAUGACGGAGCAGCGGAAGAACAAGCAAAGGCUCGGAUUCCUGGGUCCUUCACAGCACAACCACCAUCACAUCCCGACACACUGAGGAGGGGAGAACCGCUCAACUGUUGCCUGUAAAAUCAGAUGGUGCUGCACCGACGUUAGCCUUAAGAAGAACCUGCACCUUUAGAUGUGUUCAUGCAACCACCAGAGUCGAACUGCGAGCAGGCAGGCUUGAUGCCCUGGUUAUGACACAAACUCUGCCUUUUUAGAUACUCUUUAUGCCUUUUGUGCCCAGUCAGCUGUAAGACAGAGUCCAGAUCUACCACUAUGGUGUUUGUAUGCCAUGUAAGAGAUCUAAGGAAACGUUAGAAUGAGGAGAAAGUGUCGGUGAGUGGAUCAUUGGUGCACCAAUCUGCACCAAUAACUUCCUUUCUCAGAUUUUGGUGAGAGGAAGGCGCACACUCUGUUAAAGUAUUUUUCUCUUUACCCUUUAGGUUCCUUUUGGUAUUUGUGGGAACAUUUUCCAUUUAUAACUGGAGUAUUAUUUUUAUGUUCUGAGAAGAAAUCAUGCUGCCUUACUGUUUUUUGGUUUUUUUUUAAUAUGCAGCACACUGCAACAUCUGUAAGUGCACUUUUUUUAAGAAAGGGAAAAUGUUAUACUGGAUGUAUUGGUUUGCUCGGGAUGUCACAUUUGAUCGUUAUGUUUGGUGUUGCGUUCAGAUAUGCAUUCACUGUACCUCUUCAGUUGCCUUUUACAGUUGCCUAUAGUUUGUAAAUGUGAAUAAAAAUACUGAUAACCUGUGGAAAACUUACUUGAAUUUUCCUGAAAAUCUUAUUUCUGGUUAAAGAUGUAGUGAGGGAGGAUGAAAGCUUCACUUUUCUUUGUUACAUCUCUGUCUCUAUAAAUAUUUCAUCUUUUACCAAAAUCUUUGCAUAAUUUACCCCUCUCAUUCAUUUUUGUUCUUUUGUUGUAAAAUAAUUGCCACUAUUGCAGCUGAUUCCUAAAUCAGAACUUGUUUUAGUCUGGCACAAACUAACAGCACAACUGCAUAAGUUUAAUUGCGACUGUCCUGUGACACUUUCUGCUCAGUGUACAGAAAAUCUAUUUUAUCUGCUCAGAUGGUCUAAUAAAUUUGUAACAACAGUAA